UGUAAAGGUGCAAAUUUCCAAUGAUGAAUGUCAUUAUAUUGUAUAUCUAAAAGGUACCAAUAAAAUUAAAUUUAAAAACAAGACAGAUAAUAGGAAAAAAGUUACACUCCAGAAUGGACAAUUUAUCUAAAAGUGUACCUUGAUUUAGUUUAAUUGUCUUAUGUGUUUUAUAUGUUUUUGGCCUUUUAGUCUCCCUGAUAAUCUGUAUGUAUGAUUGAUAAUUCUAUUAGGACUUAUAAGUAAAUGAAUCUAAUGGUGGCAAAAACAAAAAAAGGGCAGUGGAGGGGAAGGCGAAAAAACGAGUUGAAAUGUACUAUGUACCAAAUUCCCCACAAUGAAUAUAAUUAUUAUUAUUUUUAUUAUUUUCAUGGUUCUGUCAGCAAUGAAUAUAAUUAUUAUGUACUGUAAACAUGUACUAAUAAAAAUAAAAAAUGAAAAAACCCCAAAAUAUUACAAAAUUUUUUGUGCUAAGAGAAUAACCAGAUACAUAGUCAAGGAUUGAAAUAAAAGUAGAUUUUGUAACAUUAAUCUUAAUUUCAGAAAAUAUAAUAGAAUAUUUUAAAUAAAUUGAGGUACAACUAUUAGUUGGCUUCCUUACUUUGAUGCUAAUUUUGUUAUAAUAUCCCCCCCCCAUGCAUACACACACAAGAGACCGACAAACCCACAAAAGUACAAUGCUAACAAGUUAAUAAUGGUUGUUGUGGGCCACGCACAGUGGCCCACACCUAUACUCUUAGCAGCUCAAGAGGCUGAGGCAGGAGGAUCACAAGUUCAAAGGCAGCUUGGGCAACUUAAUGAGACCCUGUUUCAAAAAAAAAUUAAAUGGUUGAGAAUAUAACUCAGGGCAAAGGCUCUGGGUUCAAUCCCCAGUGCCACAAGCUGACAGACAAAAGUUGCUUCCAAAAAGUAGAGUCAAGGGUAUAGCUUACAUUUAUCUUAUCUGUAAUCUUGUGCAGUGAUUAUUUUUCUGCAUAUAAAAAUACUUCGAUAAUAAAAAAAUAUUAUGUAUGUGUAAGUUAAUCUAAAAUUUUCAACAUUUGAAUUUAUUUGCAACAAAUGAAGUAAAAUAGCUAUCAUUUUCUGUGGAUAUGGGAAGAAUAAUAUAUUAGCCUUUUACUGCAAAGGCAAAUAGAUGUUUUUUAGGUAGAGCAUAUUUUCUUAAUUAGGACUAUUAGCAUUGUCAACCAAGAAUAAAAUCAACUUGAUUCAAAACAAAGAUAAUCACAUUUAUCUGGGGCUAAUUAGGUUUGCAACCUAGGAUGCACAAAUUCAAGUAGACUUAAAUUGUGUUCCCUAGGUCAAAGAAAAUGACAGCUGUAUUUAAAACCUAAAACCACAAAGGAGUUUGUAACUACAGCAUUUAUUAGUCAGGAAUCAUGAUUGCUGUUGGCAAGAGUGAAGGUGAACUUAUAAGAAAGGGACUGGGUAUAGUCUGUUUCUGGGUAGUUUGAGAGGAGGGAUCCUUCAUACAGACGAUCAGCAUAGGUUGAGGAUGUUUCAGAUAACUGAUUUGGCUCAGUCUUAAGGUCGCCUCACAUGAGAGGAGCACAUCUGCAGCCUAGUUCAAAGGUCAGAUCUCAUGAAACUUGACCCAACAAUGUCCUCUUCUUUCAAGUGCCCUGAACCGACACUUUCAUUUUAUUUUUCUUCUUUGACAGCAAAUUAUUAAAUGCACACAGCCUGGAUCCCUGUUGUGGAAUAUGAGAUUUACGAAGUUUGGACACUUGAGAUACGUCAGCAUUUACAUUCACCAAUAACUCCAUCAAAGCUUUUUCAUAAACAAAUAUUUUUUAUGACAUUAAAUACUAGAGAAAUGCAAAGUAAAACUAUUUAAUUUUCUAUUUUGCAGGUGUCAGUAAACCAGACUUUAGUAUAAACAAAGGAAGUAUUUUUUCAAGAAUAGGUGUCAUGGUUUAGGCAUCCAACCAAAAAUCAACCCAAGGCGUGUUCUAGCAAGAUUGGUUGAUGGAAGGUGCUGGUGGAAGACUGCAGAAUAGAGUUGUUUCCAGGCAGUCUGCAGGAUGUUUUGUAUUUGGCCAACUUGGGGAAUAAUAAAGUUGCCUAGUCAAGCACACAUAGUCAGUUCACCUUCCAAAAUGCAGAGACAUAAGAUACAGUGAUUUUUUUAAAAAAAUAUUUUUAUUGCUAAAUUUUAGACAUGUAAUGAUCGUAUUUAUCAUAGGGCAUCUGUACCUGUACAUAAUAUAUCCUGAUACCCGCUCAGACAAUCUCUAUCUUGGCAUACAAGGAUGAACAACUGAUUAGAACAACUAUUUCACCUUGACUAAAGUAGUCCAAUCAGUAAUAACAGUAGGAUCAAGCACAGCCUAGAAAAUGUCACUGUGGUAACUAUUAAUUUGCCACCUUUAACCAUAUGAAUAAUAUUUAUAGUUAUAUAACAAAACAAACUAGAAAAUUGUAUACAGUUAAUAUCACCUCAAUUGAGCAAUUUUACCCUCUUGGGAGAAAAUUUUAAAGGGAUAAGAAAAAA